UACGAAGGGGCUAGCGUUGCUCGGAAUUACUGGGCGUAAAGCGUGCGGCAGGCGGUUCGUUGUGUCGGCGGUGAAAGCCCCGGGCCCAACCUGGGAAUGGCCGUUGAAACUGGCGAACUGGAGUGUGGCAGGAGGGGGUGGAAUUCCGCGUGUAGCAGUGAAAUGCGUAGAGAUGCGGAGGAACACCGAUGGCGAAGGCAGCCCCCUGGGCUAACACUGA
rnacentral:rRNA from 1 species